rnacentral:lncRNA from 1 species
AUUCAGCUCCCCUAAGGUAGCAAUAUAUACAGAGUUACAUAGACAAAAAAAGAGAAUGUUUUAUUUAAUUUCACUGGAUACACAACAACGUUAUGAAUUUAACAACCAGAUGGAGAAAGAGUUAUGAUAACCCUUAUGAGUGAUGGUGUGGUGUUAGAACUUGGAAACAGACAAACACGAACAACAUGAACAAAUUAUUGGAAUUAGAUUCUUAUAUUAUUGAAGAAGAAGAAGAAGAAGAAGAAGAAGAAGAAGAAGAAGAAAAUUAAUCAUGGAAUGAUAAUGCUAUUUGGCACGUGUAUGUGUAUUUACCUCAAAAGUUGUAUGAUUGAUUGAUAUUUCCUAAAGUAACACAACAACAACCUCAUCUCAAAGGUCUCUACUGUCGCAUUGCUGAAUGGGGAUGGUGAAGUGAGUAACCAUGAGGUAAGAGUAGCUUUGUGGGGUACGUGCAUAUAAAAUCAACCAUGGGUGUGUGGUACUGGUACAUGUAGCUUAAUGGAUACUCAAGGGUAAAAUAAACUCAUAAUUCAAUUAUCCGUCAGUUAAUGAAUACGUAGACAUAUUUGUAUCUUCAAAUAUCUAUAUCCGUUAUGGUGAAAAACACCAUAACGUAAUUUUCUAAUGAACCUAAAUUAAAGGCUAAAAAUAUGAGGUGCAUAUUCUCCAUAACAUUAGUUGGUAAAAUUAAAGUGUUCAUCUUCAUAACUUCAUUACUUUAAUAAAAAAAGUGUUCAUGUUCAUGAAGCAACUAAUGCUAAAAGCUACUCCAUGGUUGCUAUAGACUGGAAAGUACACCACGUCUUCACAUACUUCGUUCUUAAAAUACACUAGUGUGUGCUUUCAUAGGAUUGAAGUCGUUUAAUUUUAAAAAAAUAUAUAUGCAUCAAACUAUAUAUUAACUUUUUCAAAGC